GGGGAAUUUUGGACAAUGGGCGCAAGCCUGAUCCAGCAAUGCCGCGUGCAGGAUGAAGGCCUUCGGGUUGUAAACUGCUUUUGUACGGAGCGAAACGGUCCUUUCUAAUACAGAGGGCUAAUGACGGUACCGUAAGAAUAAGCACCGGCUAACUACGUGCCAGCAGCCGCGGUAAUACGUAGGGUGCGAGCGUUAAUCGGAAUUACUGGGCGUAAAGCGUGCGCAGGCGGUUUUGUAAGACAGAUGUGAAAUCCCCGGGCUCAACCUGGGACCUGCAUUUGUGACUGCAAGGCUAGAGUACGGUAGAGGGGGAUGGAAUUCCGCGUGUAGCAGUGAAAUGCGUAGAUAUGCGGAGGAACACCGAUGGCGAAGGCAAUCCCCUGGACCUGUACUGACGCUCAUGCACGAAAGCGUGGGGAGCAAAC
rnacentral:rRNA from 1 species